ensembl:snRNA U6 U6 spliceosomal RNA
AUGCUCGCUUCGGCAGCACCUACGCUAACGUUGGAAGGAUCCAGAGAAGAUUAGCACUGCCCCUGCGCAAGGGAGGCGCGCAAGUUCUUGAAGCAUUCCAUGUUUUU